UACGUAGGGUGCAAGCGUUGUCCGGAAUUAUUGGGCGUAAAGAGCUCGUAGGCGGUUUGUCGCGUCGGCUGUGAAAGCCCGGAGCUCAACUCCGGGUCUGCAGUCGAUACGGGCAGACUUGAGUGUUGCAGGGGAGACUGGAAUUCCUGGUGUAGCGGUGAGAUGCGCAGAUAUCAGGAGGAACACCGGUGGCGAAGGCGGUUCUCUGGGCCUUACCUGACGCUGAGGAGCGAAAGCGUGGGGAGCGAACAGG
rnacentral:rRNA from 1 species